rnacentral:rRNA from 1 species
UUAAGUCAGGCAACGAGCGAGACCCCUGCUUCUAGUUGCUACUUUUAUUCUUCGGAGUAGAAGGGCUAAUUAGAAGGACUGCCGCCGCUAAGGCGGAGGAAGGAGGGGGCUACGGCAGGUCAGUAUGCCCCGAAACCCUCGGGCCACACGCGGGCUGCAAUGGUAAGUACAAUAGGUUCCGAUUUCGAAAGGAGGAGGCAAUCCGCAAAACUUACCACAGUUAUGAUUGAGGGCUGAAACUCGUCCUCAUGAAUAUGGAAUCCCUAGUAAUCGCGUGUCAUCAUCGCGCGGUGAAUACGUCCCUGCUCCUUGCACA